CUCGAGGUCGUGGACGUGAUCUUGCAGGCCUGAGGCUCCCAGUGUCUGACACGGGGUGCUCCCGAUGAAGAGAUGGCUGGCCUGGUUGCAUGAAGGUUGUCUUGAUGGGAUUCUUGUUCUGGGCAUAGAGCUGGACUCUUGGACAACCAAAAUAUCACUUCUGGAGCUCCUGAGGUUCCAUAGUGCCCCCCGCUGAGGAAAUAAAUAAGAAGACAACGUAGGGUAACUUUCUAGCGAGAAUUAGCCCAAAAGCCAGCAGUGGAAGCUUGCUCACUAAGACCUACAAUACCGAACAGGCCAUGCAUCAAUCGGGUGAGACACCAACUCCCAGUCGACUGCAGGAGGAGAGAGGCCGCUUGGAGAGGCAGUGGGAAGCCGACGACGCCAGCUGAAAAGCCGUGGCUGCUUUUAUCUGAGACAAGGAACAGUGAGAUUCUCCCUUGGAGCCUCCAGAAGGAACCUGCCCUGUGGACACCUUGAUUUUAGCCCUGUAGGUUCAUUUCAGACUCCGGAC